ACAGUUUUUCCACAGACAAGAGGAAGGCUGAGGACAUGGGGGGCGAGGACCACAGGGUCCUGCUCUGUUUCAGUAGGGUGGAGAGUUACUCAAAGGGGGGAGGGUUCAAAAAGAAUCACAGUUGUCCAUGUUGGACCUUGAUCUAGUGAACUUUGGAUCCCUGAUGUUAAUGCCCUAACUGGCAAUGUCUGCUGAAACUAAGGUUUUGCUAUCUAUCAGAUUUAUAGGAUACACUGAAAUCUCUAAAUGUUUUUGUUUUUAAAGAAAGCAAAACACGAAUGAGCUAAGACUCAGAAGAGAGCAAAAGGAACAGGAUGUCAAAAGAAAAGUAGACAGAAGGCAAUCACAGAGGCUAAAACACCAUUAAUGAAUUAUCGAUAACAGAACAUCAGAAGAGUCAUGGCAGUGCCGGGGGACAGGCCUGGUGGACAGAAAGGCCGAGAGCAUCUCAACCACACUCGGACAACCUGACACCGCCACGCCGACUUCCUGGACGUUGUUUGUUACCCCCACCCGCCAAGCCCCAGUUUCCUCCUUUGUCCAACGAGGAUGCGUGUAAAUCAGUAAACGCACACGCGGGCCCA